CUCGAACUCUUUAUCUCUACUCCUUCAUGUUUGCAUGUCUCUCUCUUUCUCUCACCUGCUCUCUAUUCUGAAUCCCCUCUAUUCUAGCUAAACCCUAACCUACUCCCCUCAAUUUCAUUUUAAGAGUGAAAAACCAUUUCCUUAUCCACAAGCCCAGAACGUUCUCGUUUUCUCCUCCGGUCUGAAGAAAAUGGCGACUGCAAACGCUCUCUCUUCCGCCUCCGUCUUCUGCUCUUCCCGCCAGGGAAAGAUGAGUGGUGGAAGUCAGCAGAGGUCAAAGAGAAACCGGAGGGCUUCUUACCCGGAUUGAGGGUUUGAGAAGUUUUAUUCCAAAGCAAGAGCUGGUGAAGAGAGUGAAUAGUUUCACAGAGUUGAAGGAAAACGUAAAGCAAGAGUUUCUUCUACUUCUGCUGUAACUUAGCGGACUGUUGAACUGAAGAGAUUAUCAGGAGGGUUGAAGAGAGUGAGAGCGCUUGGCCCGCUCGAGCAGCUGUUGUCUCUUGUGCUUCUGUCUGUAAAUCAUGGCGAGGAAUCACAGUGGAGAUUGUGGGAAUCCCUGAGCAGUGUGGGAAGCUCACUUUCCCUAUCUCAUUGAAACAGCCGGGUCCGCGAGACCUUCUUAUUCAAUGCCUUAUUAAAAGGAACAGAGCAACAGCUACGUAUAUUCUCUACUAUGGCUUGAUGCCUUGAGAGACGGAGAACGACAAGCUAUUGCUAGUGGCAAAAAGGGUUAGAAGAGCGAGCAUCCACUAAGCUAUCUGCUACUAGCUAUACCUAAGGAAUCAUUACCUACGAGCUCAAUGUUCUUCGCACAAGGGGACCGAGAAGAAUGCACUGCGUUAUGGACUCUGUAUCACUCGCUUCUGUAUCUCUGAGCCAUCAGUAGUUAAGGAAGAAGAAGCAUCUUCCAUCGGUAGUAUUGGUUUAGUGGUAGUUGAUAGUAUGUUUGAUAGGUUUUGAUGUAUUGAUUUUAUAUGUUUUGAAUAUUUACUGGAAAAGCAUAUGGUGUUUUAUCAUUCACUUGUGUUUCAUUAGAGUAAAUUAUAUAUUUUUAAUAUCA